ACAACAUUCGGACCGUCGGUCUACCGAGCAAUCUCACUCGCUCGGUGGAAGAUCUAUUGUCGU
rnacentral:pre_miRNA from 1 species